CCAGCACUUGGGGGCGCCCAGGGAAAGCCAAGCCCGUGGCUGCGACCUGUGACCCGCAACCCCGGGUUGGCCUUGCCCCCGGAGCGCCCAUCUCGCUCCCCAGGCUCAGAGCGCGGCUGGGACUUUUGCAAACUUUCUAACUCCUGAGGGCGAGAGGGCAGAGCAGGGACCCUGUCCGGGCGCCGCGACUUCCCUCCGAUCCUCACCGGGACGCCCAGCCUGCACCCAGGGAGGGAA